CGUGCCGAUCGCGAAGAUCGGCCGCUGGGAGUGUUGGCGAACCGCCUCGGAAAGCUCUGAAGAAGGUACGCGGUACGCGCGUGAAGAAGGAGCGCGACGAAGAACGAUUCUUCCUGGCCGUGAGAAUAGCGAGCGGCGAUCCGCCAACGUCUUCGUCUUCUCACUGACGGUGAGAGGACGAGCAGAGAGAGAGGUGCCGUAGGAGCCAGUCACCAGUAGGAGAAUUCGGCAGUAGAAAGGGGAGAGGAUCUCCGUGCGACGGACGGACACACACACACACACACACAGCCAGUCGAAA